CUGGAGGUAUCAGAAGUGCGAAUGCUGACAUAAGUAACGAUAAAGCGGGUGAAAAGCCCGCUCGCCGGAAGACCAAGGGUUCCUGUCCAACGUUAAUCGGGGCAGGGUGAGUCGACCCCUAAGGCGAGGCCGAAAGGCGUAGUCGAUGGGAAACAGGUUAAUAUUCCUGUACUUGGUGUUACUGCGAAGGGGGGACGGAGAAGGCUAUGUUGGCCGGGCGACGGUUGUCCCGGUUUAAGCGUGUAGGCUGGUUUUCCAGGCAAAUCCGGAAAACUAAGGCUGAGGCGUGAUGACGAGGCACUACGGUGCUGAAGCAACAAAUGCCCUGCUUCCAGGAAAAGCCUCUAAGCAUCAGGUAACAUCAAAUCGUACCCCAAACCGACACAGGUGGUC
rnacentral:rRNA from 1 species